GAUGAACGCUGGCGGCGUGCCUAAUACAUGCAAGUCGAGCGAACAGACGAGAGUGCUUGCACUCUCUGACGUUAGCGGCGGACGGGUGAGUAACGCGUGGGUAACCUACCUAUAAGACUGGGAUAACUUCGGGAAACCGGAGCUAAUACCGGAUAAUAUUUAGCUUCGCAUGAAGCAAUAGUGAAAGACGGUUCUGCUGUCACUUAUAGAUGGACCCGCGGUGUAUUAGCUAGUUGGUGAGGUAACGGCUCACCAAGGCAACGAUACAUAGCCGACCUGAGAGGGUGAUCGGCCACACUGGGACUGAGACACGGCCCAGACUCCUACGGGAGGCAGCAGUAGGGAAUCUUCCGCAAUGGACGAAAGUCUGACGGAGCAAUGCCGCGUGAGUGAAGAAGGUUUUCGGAUCGUAAAACUCUGUUGUAAGGGAAGAACAAGUACGUUAGUAACUGAACGUACCUUGACGGUACCUUACCAGAAAGCCACGGCUAACUACGUG
rnacentral:rRNA from 1 species